rnacentral:rRNA from 1 species
AUUGAACGCUGGCGGCAGGCCUAACACAUGCAAGUCGAGCGAGCGGCGGACGGGUGAGUAAUGUCUGGGAAACUGCCUGAUGGAGGGGGAUAACUACUGGAAACGGUAGCUAAUACCGCAUCCCAUCAGAUGUGCCCAGAUGGGAUUAGCUAGUAGGUGGGGUAACGGCUCACCUAGGCGACGAUCCCUAGCUGGUCUGAGAGGAUGACCAGCAACACUGGAACUGAGACACGGUCCAGACUCCUACGUGAGGCAGCAGGGGGGAAGAUGGAACAAUGGGCGCAAGCCUGAUGCAGACAUGCCGCGUGAGUGAAGAAGGCCUUCGGGUUGUAAGGCACUUUCAGCGGGGAGGCGGUACCCGCAGAAGAAGCACCGGCUAACGACGUGCCAGCAGCCGCGGUAAUAC